ensembl:lncRNA
CUUUACCCCAGGGCAGGCGCCUUUCCCGGGAGGGAAGGCCAGGCCCUCUGGGUCACUAGGAAUCCCUCCCCGGACAGGGGCUGGGCUGGGCUGGGCAGCAGCUGCCUUUGUGAAGGAGCCUGGGACCCGCCGGUUAUCUUAGCUGAUGGAAAGCUGUUUGGAGGAUGUGCAGAGAACGAAGGGAAGCCACCUAGGACAUCACCCAGGCCCAGCUGGGGCCACUUCCUGGAAGACGCCUUCCCUGACUUCCAAGGCAAGGCCCUUGGUGCCCUCCUCCGAGUAUUAGCCCCUUAGAUUUUUAUCAUGUCUAAUUGCUGCACUCACAUCUAUCUGCCUUUUGGAUUACAAGCCUCUGAGGACAACUUCUCCAGUUCCUACUUGCAGUAGGUCCAGGAAAAAAGACCAUGGGAAAACGAAAGAGUGCUGUUGGAGAGUGAAAAGUGUAAGCACUGCCGUAAUGGGCCUGUAAGACCGACUUGUUAGCUGACGCCACCUGGGAGAAGAGGCUUUGAGACACAGAGCAGGAUCAGCGGGGCAGACCCUCUGGCAACAAUGUGAAAUGGGUAACAUUUGACUUCUUCAAGCUUCAUCCCACCUCCCUUUACCUGUUGCCCUGGAGCUGAACUCUGGAUGCCCCAGGACACUUGAGAAAGAAUCCUGGUGUUUUACUAACUGAUAUAGCAAGAUCACAUCCAGGACUUCAUGCUGAAUGUCAGUAAGUGUUCAGUGUUUGGAACUGCCUGCUCAUCCUGACUUGGAAGCAAGUUUAUUUAUUCAGCAUAAAAGGAAGUAUUUGAACUCACAGAGUGUGAUUCUCUGCAACUUUUAAAAGCAGCAAGACUGGGCAGACAACUUUUAGGACAAUAAGACAUAUUUCUCUGUUCUGAAUAUUUUUUGCUAUCUUAACUAAAUUCUAUCUAUGUAGGAGCUCAACAAUAAAAAUGACUUAGUUUUGGCUAAUACAGGUAAUAAUUUAGAUGACAAAAAUGAGCCUGUUUUGUUUUUUUUUUUUGCCUAAAAUUCCGUCUGUUGUCUUCUCCAUUCAACUGUUUCAUUUUUGAACCAUUCUUUUGUGAAACGGAACAUGUAAACAACAUUUUCAUGAAUAUCACCAUAUCACCUAGGUGAAUAGAAUAAACUCUACCCAACC